AAUACAUGCAAGUCGACGCUUUUCUUUCACCGGAGCUUGCUCCACCGAAAGAAAAGGAGUGGCGAACGGGUGAGUAACACGUGGGUAACCUGCCCAUCAGAAGGGGAUAACACUUGGAAACAGGUGCUAAUACCGUAUAACAAUCGAAACCGCAUGGUUUCGGUUUGAAAGGCGCUUUUGCGUCACUGAUGGAUGGACCCGCGGUGCAUUAGCUAGUUGGUGAGGUAACGGCUCACCAAGGCAACGAUGCAUAGCCGACCUGAGAGGGUGAUCGGCCACAUUGGGACUGAGACACGGCCCAAACUCCUACGGGAGGCAGCAGUAGGGAAUCUUCGGCAAUGGACGGAAGUCUGACCGAGCAACGCCGCGUGAGUGAAGAAGGUUUUCGGAUCGUAAAACUCUGUUGUUAGAGAAGAACAAGGAUGAGAGUAGAAUGUUCAUCCCUUGACGGUAUCUAACCAGAAAGCCACGGCUAACUACGUGCCAGCAGCCGCGGUAAUACGUAGGUGGCAAGCGUUGUCCGGAUUUAUUGGGCGUAAAGCGAGCGCAGGCGGUUUCUUAAGUCUGAUGUGAAGGCCCCCGGCUCAACCGGGGAGGGUCAUUGGAAACUGGGAAACUUGAGUGCAGAAGAGGAGAGUGGAAUUCCAUGUGUAGCGGUGAAAUGCGUAGAUAUAUGGAGGAACACCAGUGGCGAAGGCGGCUCUCUGGUCUGUAACUGACGCUGAGGCUCGAAAGCGUGGGGAGCAAACA
rnacentral:rRNA from 1 species